rnacentral:misc_RNA from 1 species
GGAAAUAAAAGUCGUAACAAGGUUUCCGUAGGUGAACCUGCGGAAGGAUCAUUAAAGUUAUAGUCCCCCGGCCCUCUGGGCUGGGGUCUUCUAUACCACCCUUUGUUUAUUACACCUUUGUUGCUUUGGCAGGCCUGCCCUCGGGCUGCUGGCUCCGGCCGGCUCGCGUCUGCCAGAGGACCUAAACUCUGUUUGUAUAUGAAGUCUGAGUACUAUAUAAUAGUUAAAACUUUCAACAACGGAUCUCUUGGUUCUG